CAGUAGCCGCGGGAAUACGUAGGGUGCAAGCGUUAAUCGGAAUUACUGGGCGUAGGGCGUGCGCAGGCGGUUCGCUAAGACAGAUGUGAAAUCCCCGGGCUUAACCUGGGAACUGCAUUUGUGACUGGCGGGCUAGAGUAUGGCAGAGGGGGGUAGAAUUCCACGUGUAGCAGUGAAAUGCGUAGAGAUGUGGAGGAAUACCGAUGGCGAAGGCAGCCCCCUGGGCCAAUACUGACGCUCAUGCACGAAAGCGUGGGGAGCAAACAGGAUUAGAUACCCCUGUAGUCCCUGUCUCUUAUAC
rnacentral:rRNA from 1 species